UAAAUGGUCACUAAAAAGAUGUAAAUUUUACCUUAAUUCGAUUCUCGUGGGGCAGCCGAUGUGUCUUUCCUUUUUUUCUCACACCGCGCCGGCGUUCGUUCGCCCGUCGGCGGCCGGCCACCGUCGCCUCGUUUAUCAUUCGACCCCAAUUCAAUUACGCCGAAACCCGGCGAGCAUUCGUCGUCGUCGUCGUCCAGUUAUGGCGGAGGAGAAGCGAUGUCCCCCUCCGAUAUCGGAUAUCGGCGAAGCAGAGGAGUCGGACGGACGGACGUAGGCCUCGCUACAGCCUAGGCGGUGGCGGGGUCGUGGUGGUGGUGGCGUCGUCUAUCGCGGCCGCCGCCGCCGCAGCCGCCGCCCGCACGCGCUACUUCUUGAAGGAGUCCUUCGAAGUGUAGCCGCUGAGGCGGCCGCUGCCGCGGAGCAGCGGGCGCGGAGGGGAGGGCAGGAGGUUUUUCCCGCCGCCGCCGCCCCCUCGGCCCCCGGUGGUGCGUAGGAGACCUUAGAGCUCGACCGAGUCGAGGCACCGGCCCGCGGGCGUGGGCGGCGUCGGCGGGAACGACCGCCGACGCCGACGCCGACGCCGCCGCCACCUCUGCCUCCGCCUCCUCGACCGCGACCGCAGCAGCUAACCCCUCUCCGUCCGCCUCCUCCUCUGCCGCUCCUCCCUGCUCGCCUUCCUCCUGUCCUUCUCCCUCUAACUCUUCGUCCUCUUCGCCCUCCUGCUCGACCUCCUCAUGGUGUACGUCGACCGCGACCUCUACUCGCGCGCCCUCCUGGGGCUCCGCUACGUCUAGCUCCACCGGUUCGUCUAGUCGGAGCCGAGGACGGGCGAGGUCUCGAGGCGACGGCUCCAGCAGCGGAAGGCGAUGACCUCAAAGUCACGGGAAUCGAUACUGCUGUUUUAUAACCUACCAAAGAUACUGUAAACCCGGUGACCCCCGUUCGGGCGUGACGCUUGGUAUGGGAGAGACUACCUCGACGUAGUCGUUGGAAAAAGAGAACCUCGAUUUUGUCUUCGACACAACCAGUUGUCUCGUGUUCUGAGACUUGAACAUCUGGAACCCGUCUUCCGUGAGUAGUACCGGCAACUGAAGGCGAGAGUUUGAAGUGUAAGACAACCGGCACAAAAUUAAGUCUCCGAUCGAUAAAAUCACCGUUUGGUGUACCCACCCGGUCAACAACUAGGUCUUUUGCACGACAACUUCAUGGUCUUAUACUCAUCAAGAGACUCUCGAUCAUAAUCUUCGAGGCAGUACGGAGAACCGGCGGAGUGUUAACCGGACCGAGCAGUGGCACGCGACGAAAAAUUCCACAACCGGCUGUUGGAACUACAAGGAACAGCUGAUCAGUUUCCUUCCGUCAUGUGACCUAGUCUGCUACCUCGGAACUUGUAACACUUUAACUUACUACCUUCCCUUAUGUAACAGCUAGAGUACAGUCUAGGACCAUGAGAAUAACGAAGUCUGCCACGUCUGAACCCAUCUCUUAAACUUCUUUCAAGGAAACGUCUAUUGGUGGUUCCACUGUUUCUACUGUCGUUGUGAGUCAACCCUAGGAGAUAAUCACUUGGAAGUUCAAGACACACACCAAGAAAACUUUUGCUCAGUUUUCCUAGGUGUGGAUGGUUACAACACCUAGGCAUAACACAUUGUUGAUCGGUCUGAGCAUUGGUUCCUAGAAACGUUAGUUCAAGUAACCCCCUUGAUAGUCGACCGAGUGUACGAUCACUUUCAAACGGAUAAUAGUUCCUUAGAUCUUUACGUCUGGUAUGGAACCGACACUUCUUGUUUCUUUUCGGCUGACGUCGUUUAUUCAGUAGCAGUUCAAGUGGAAGCAGAAGACUCCACCCAUCGCGAGGUCGACAUUCCUCCUGCUUCCACUUUCUACAGAGUCUCAUAUACUAAUCACGACGUUUUCUAUUGGGGGUCAAUCGACUCUUCUAGGUACGACAUAAUGAUCUUUUACCUCAACACGGUGGUGGACUAAACAAAAGUCUUCUUAGAUCCCUUGUUGGUUUUCUGGAUUAACACAUGCUGUGUAGAGACAAAGUUUGUUUUCCACUUUACUAUUUCGCCUACUUACUCGAACUUAGGUGUAGUGUACUACUUUCACUAGUACCAGGAAGCAACGGUGGAGUAGGACCUAUACUUGUGGUUUGUUUCCGACAAGGAAUAGCCGGAUUUGGACAGGUUCCUUACCCAUAAAUAGUGGGGAGUUUAAAGGUACUAUUGUCAUUAGGUAGAAAUGGAGACAUACUUAGUAGACGUGAACGGGCCCUUAUGGGUAAAGUUGAAUAUUUCGUUUACGGACAAUGUCGACGACGUCAACGUUGACGACGUCACCAACGUAGAAGUUACCAACAACGACGUCGAUUUAGAUUUUCACUAUAAUUUGAUCUACACGGACAACGACGACGACGGUGACGACGACGACAACAACGAUGUAGGCGACGACAAUUUGUCAUACUUAUGUACCUAGGCCCAACAGUUAACUAAUCGAACGGAUCAAGAAGCCUCCGUUUACCUGGUCAGGUAUCUCAAGCUGGACUGACGACCCUAUUUCUGGUCGACCUUCAACUAGUACCUGUUCUUUUACGAGAGCUCGUUCCUUUACGAAACCAACUUCACGGAGCCCUUCGACUUGCCUAGAGACUGUUCAGUUAGCCCUGUCUCUCACAUUCUAGACUACAUUGAUACCUGCUACAGCGUCUCAAACUCUAGGUUACCCUUCUUUAACAAGAUCCUCUUGCACAACCCGAUCCUAGAAAACCUCUUCACAUGUCUCCCCUUACCGUACCUUGUCUUCAACGUCAGUUCUUUAAGAACGUUGUCCUAUAAAGUUCACUAUAUGACCUUCUUAAUUUUCGACUCCACGCCUAUUACUUCUCUGACGCCGUAGGUUUACAACAAGAAAAAUACCCACGACAGUGAGCAUAUGGGUUGGAAAGAUAGAACUGACUUAAAGAAGGCUCUCCAUCAAACAAAGCCAACUAGGCAGCGGGGUUGUUGGUCAACCUACUUUCUUUUGCAUAUUCCUACCGUGAACUACACCGGGCACCUUACUUAAUAAACGUGUUAACAUGGGGACAACAUCAAGUAGCUCUAAACUUCAGUGGCUUAGAUGAACAACUGUUCUUAACCCAACACUUCCAAACACUAAAACCAAAUAGUGCAUAUUUCGUGUUAUGGAAGGAAAGGAGUUCUAGGUGCCGACCUUGUCGCCUUACCUACCGUGGUCUUCACGAAGCUUUACUUGGCAGCCUACUCUUUACACUACAAAAGUCGAUACCCCAAUAUAAUACCCUUGAAACAUGGAACAAUGUCGGUACCCUUCCAUACUUAGGGUACGUUCACCAACCUCGACAACCAAAAGUCCUUGCUGCGGAACUAUAAGGUCGGCUCCACCUAGGACGGUAUCGUCUCUAUUAUCUCUCUACGACCGUCUGUCUGGGUUUCUGCGCAGGUAGUAAAAGUCUCUAGUACCGACGGAAUUUUGCUCAUAACUUUUUUAACAGACGGUUGGUUGGUGCUUCUGUCGCUCGUGUCCUUCGUCUACUGAUUCUUUUUAGUCUCUAGUUGUAGUCGACUAUUGUAUUUGUUUUUCCCACGUAACCAAAAAGGACGGCAGGUGGUCGACAGGCAGACAUUGAUAUGGUAAGAAACAUAUCGAGGUUGUUUACGAACGGUCACUACCUUUUCCACUCUAAAACCAGCAAAAUGGGAGGUUUCUGUCGACAUUUAAAAGGUCACUUCGACCGUCUUUAGACGGCUCGUAAUGACGAAGUCAGGUAGAUAACCCACCUUCUGUUAGGUUUUUUAUUUGUGUAGGUAGUUCGUUUCCUUUUCAUUCCUUUUUCCUUCUUUUUUUAGGUCCUGUCAAUCAGGUGUUAUCACUACAACCCGUUACAGUAUUGCUUCAACUCUAAAGUCUCAGUCGCACAGUCUUUCUACGAUAACUAUGCAAGUGGAACUCGUAGUUCUCCGUGGCACCGGUCCCGGAACACAUAUAGUGUGGUACCGUUUAAACAGACUUAACCGUCAAUCUAAAGGUUUCUUUUAGAGACGACAAACACGAUUUUAGUGAUAAGAAAUGUCGUCGUCACAACUAAGAAGAGAGAAAAAGAAAAACGACAUUGUUCACAUGUUUUUAUAGGGUAUCUUAUCCCACGAUUAACUAGGUUGUACUUGACAUACGUAAAUGGGGACUAAAAAAAAAACUUUGAGGGGACUUUAAUCCACCGUUCCUUCUCAGAUUAUACAACGGUGUAAAGGAACAAAAGAUAUACACGGGUCUAAAUGGAAUAAAUAUUAUGACCACGAGUCCAUCAACUCAACGAGGACCUCAUCACCAUAC
rnacentral:rRNA from 1 species